rnacentral:rRNA from 1 species
UACAUAGACCUCGAGCGUUAUCCGGAUUUACUGGGCGUAAAGCGUGCGUAGGUGUCUUUGUAAGUCUCUAGUGAAAUCUCCGGGCCCAACUCGGAAACUGUUAGAGAAACUACAGGGAUCGAGUAUCGCAGAGGCAGACGGAAUUCUUGGUGUAGCGGUAAAAUGCGUAGAUAUCAAGAAGAACACCAGUGGCGAAGGCGGCUCACUGGACCGGCAUUGACGCUGAGGUGCGAAAGCGUGGGGAGCAAACAGGG